UUGGAAAUGUCCUUACUUUAGUUUUUUUUCUUUUAUGGGGGAAGUGGCCUUGUUCUUAGUUUUAUAUAGAAUUGAGUUUUUUUGUUAUAGCUGAUGAGUACCGUGAGGUACUGGUGAAAUAUUUUGAAAUUUUAUUCUUUUUAUAGUAUGCUUGGUUUGCAGUACCUUUUGUAUCAGGGCUGAUUAAUUUUUUUUAAUUUAUUUUUUAUUCUCGAUUUUAUAUGAGCUGAUUAAUAAAUAUGGUUUUUGUGGCAAAAAGAUCAUUAAUUUUUAUCUGUAAAGAUAUUUUAUUCGUAUAUAAGGGUAUCUAGUUCUUCGUGAAUUAAAUUUAAUUUAUUUUCGCUUUUUAUUUAUUUUAUUGAUAAAAUAAAUAUAGUUGUGAAAGAAAAAUUGUGGGGGCCAAUCUCCAUUUUUUUCUAUAAUUUUUAUUGUUUUAUAUUUAGUAGGGUUAAAAUCAUCCAUCUUUAGAUUACGUUAUAGUUCACUAUGGUUAUUUUUGAUUUUGUUUGAUUUAGGGGAGUAGCGAAGUAUUUUAUUUAAUUAUUGAUUUUUAAAAAUAAUGAUUAGAUUAGUAUGAUUUAUUGUUUGUAUUUAUGUUUGGGUUAUUUUGGGUUAAGGAACUCGGCAAAUGUUUGCCCACCUGUUUAUCAAAAACAUGUCCUCUUUGAUUUUUUUUGAGGUCGUACCUGCCCAGUGAUUAAUUUUAACGGCCGCGGUAUAUUGACCGUGCAAAGGUAGCAUAAUCAUUAGCCUUUUAAUAGGAGGCUGGAAUGAAAGGUUUGAUGAGGCAAAGACUGUCUCAAUUCAAUUUUUUGAAUUUAGCUUUUAGGUCAAAAGGCCUAAAUGUUUUUGGAAGACGAGAAGACCCUAUAGAGCUUAAGAAUUGAUUUUAUUUAAUUAUUUUUUUUAUUAACUUUUUAAUUUAUUUAAUUUUUUGGUUGGGGUGACAGGGAAAUAUAAUUAACUUUUUUAUUUGUUCUACAUUGAUUUAUGUGUUUUAGAUCCAUUAUUAUUGAUUUAUAGAAAAAGUUACCUUAGGGAUAACAGCGUAAUCUUCCUCCAGAGUUCAAAUUUACAGGAAGGCUUGCGACCUCGAUGUUGGAUUAAGAUAAUUUUUGGGUGUAGAAGCCUAAUUAAUAGGUCUGUUCGACCUUUAAAUUCUUACAUGAUCUGAGUUCAGACCGGUUUAAGCCAGGUCGGUUUCUAUCUCCAAUUUUUUUGUAAUUUUUAGUACGAAAGGACCAUUAUUACAAGUAAUUCUUUGACUUUAUGAUUAUUAUU
rnacentral:rRNA from 1 species